UACAGAGGCCCCAAGCGUUACUGAGAAUCACUGGGUUUAAAGGGUGCGUAGGUGGUCCGUUAAGUCCGUUGUGAAAUCCCUGGGCUCAACCCAGGAAAUGCUUCGGAUACUGGCGGACUUGAGGCUAGUAGGGGUCACUGGAACUGACGGUGGAGCGGUGAAAUGCGUAGAUAUCGUCAGGAACGCCAAUGGUGAAGACAGGUGACUGGGCUAGUUCUGACACUGAGGCACGAAAGCAUGGGGAGCGAACAGG
rnacentral:rRNA from 1 species